AGCUACAAUGAAUGCAACCUCAGGAUAUGUGAUUCCAGUUUACAUAGAGUCAAAUGAAGUUUGUUCAGGGCCAUCGAUGUGUCUGCUUGGGGGGGAAUAUAUGCGGCUGUGAUUAUAAUCGAAGAGAAUUCUCUUGGGAGAUAAUGCGGUCGACAUUUGAUUGUGAGGAAUUCUAAGUCAGAUGAACAGAAGGACUUGAGUUCCUGGAUGUUGUUAUGAUCACACCAUGUCUCGUUCAUCAUAAGGCAUACCCCCCCGCCCCUCUUCUUACCAGAAAGAUGCUUGUUUCUGUCGGCUCGAUGAGUGAAGAAACCAGCUGGCUGUACCGACUCUGAUAGCGUGUCUCGAGUGAGCCGUGUUUCCGUGAAGCAAAGAAUGUUACAGUCUCUUAUGUCUCUCUGGAAUGCUACCCUUGCUCGGAUUUCAUCAAUCUUGUUGUCAAGAGACUGGACAUUGGCGAGUAGUAUGGUAGGGAGUGGUGUGCGAUGUGCCUGUCUCCAGAGCCUGACCAGAAGACCGCUUCGUCUGCCCCUUUUACUGCGACGUUGUUUUGGUUCGCUGGCUGGGAUCCCAUCCAUUGUCCUGGGUGGUGGGCAAAACACAGGAUCUGCUUCGGGAAAGUCGUAUUCCUGGUCGUAAUGAUGGUGUAUGCAGUGGAGGUCAGCUCCAUAGCAGAACACACUGAGACCGUGGUGAGGCAGAAAGGCUGUGAGAAGGUGGUCAGAGUGUUCCAGUGCCGGCCUGAGGAGCUGAGUCUACCUGGCAGAGUGGAUGGGCAACUGUCUGCUGAUCACAUCUUUUGGACUGGCUGGAGGAAUGACCACCAAGGAGACUGUGUGGAGAACACUAACACAACUCCUGACAAAUGCCAUGAACUGGAGAGGGGCCAAUGGGAAGGAGGCAUUCGAACCACUUGCCCUGGUGGCACUGUUUUUGUCACAAGGUGCCAACAUCAAUGCUCAGAUAGAGGAGACAGUAAUCAGUGAUGGUCUAACAUGUGUUGAGUCAUACUGCUUUUUUUAAUAACUUUGCAUGGGUGAGUUGGAUUAAUGGAUGGUCCAUUGUGUGUCUACAACGGUCUCCACUCUGACAGGAAAAGACAUGCACUGCUGUGAAGGAUCCUGCCUGACUCAAAUGCUUCAAAUGGCACAGUUACUGGCACAGGCUGUCUGUUUGACAGGCAUUUAUCAAAAGGAAACCACCAGAACACUAUCCCUAAAAACAGUGAAUAAAGUGAUUGUUUGAUUGAACCCGUUUUAUCAUAGACUAAUUACAUGUAGACUACAUAUUUUGUUACCCUUUCCUGAUUUAAAAAAGGAGGCUGCGAAUUUUUGCAGCUUUUUGUUAAAAAUCGCGCAAAAUUUCAAUGUCCUCCUACUCAUGCCAGGAAUAUAGUAUAUGCAUAUGAUUAGUAUGUGUGGAUAGGAAACACUCUGAAGUUUAUAAAACUGGUUGAAUCAUGUCUGUGACUAUAACAGAACGUGUUUAGCAGGCAAAAUCCCAAGGAAAACUGUUCAAAAAAAAAAAAAAAAAAAAAAAAUAUCCCUCCGCCAGUCUCUGUAUUGUCUAUGGCAAGGGAAAAUAGAUAGCGUCCAGUUUACAAUGCCUACAGCUUCCACACGAUGUCACCAGUACUGGCAUUUAGAUUGAAGUUAAUCCUUGGUGAAAUGAGGAAUAGGCACUUCCUGUCUUCGGGUACACCGGAGGAAGUUAUGAAAGACAGAAUGUGGACCAUGAUUUCAAAAUGUGCUGCUAUUGAAUACAGAUCGCCCCGUGAUCAAUUUGAUCGAUUAUUAACGUUUACUAAUACCUAAAGUUGGAUUACAAAAGUAGUUUGAAGUGUUUUGUCAAAGUUUAUAGGCAACUUUUUUAAUUUUAAAAAAUGACGUUGCGUUUUGGAACGGUGCUUUUUCAUGGAUCAGACGGGCUUCAUAAAUGGACAUUUAGGGUAUACAUGGACGGAUUUAAUCGAAAAAAAGACCCAAUUGUGAUGUUUAUGGGACAUAUAGGAGUGCCAACAAAGAAGCUCGUCAAAAGUAAUGAAUGUUUUAUAUUUUAUUUCUGCGUUUUGUGUAGCGCCGGCUACGCUAAUUAUUCUGUUUACGUCCCCUUUGGGUAUUUAUUUAAUUGAGUACCCUGCAUGUGUGUUUUAAUGAAAGUUUGAGUUGUAUCGAGUACUAUUAGUUGUCACUCUGAAAUUUCCUCUGAUUUCCGCUGAUGUUGAUCCCUGUAUAGGGCUGCAGCCCUAAGAGGUUCAUAAAUCCUGACUGCUAGCUCUAGUUUAGACUUGUCUGGCACAAACACUUGUAGCUGAAUGCAUUGCUAAUACCGCCAUUCCCAUCCUGUUUCAUUUUAUGUAUCUCAUUAAUAAUUUACAUAAACGUCUGUGUGUGCUGCAUUGUGGUAUUUUUUUCCUGUGUUGACAGUUGUAAUGGUCAAAAUAAUAAGCAUUAGAAAUGUAUUUAUACAUUUUCUUUCUUUGAUUUUGUUCUAGGUGCCAGUUCCCACAUCAUAAGUUGUGUACUCUGCAGUUUGUACCCUUUAUAUAAUAUUACUUGUUGAUGAAAAGGAAAUUAUAGGAUGUAAAACAAGGAUCAUCAACUAGCUGCGCGACUAUUUUUUAUUGAAUGGAUGGUCAGAACAUAAUAAAAAUAUUUUUAGAAUGCAUAUUGCCCGCAAGAAGCCAAAACAGAUAUAUUUGACUAAAACAUAACAUUUUCAAACCUUGAUUACAUUGCCCUGUGAAGGGUGCUGUCUUUCGGAUGGGACGUUAAAACGAGUGUCCUGACUCUGUGGAGAUGGUUGUCCUUCUGGAAGGUUCUCCCAUCUUGGCAGCACUCCACCAAUAAGGCCUUUGUGAUAGAGUGGCCAGACAGAAGCCAC
ensembl:lncRNA